AUUGUGAUGCCCCUUUGCCCUCUGAAUGUGCUGGGUGGGGUCACGGGGCUUCUUUUCACCCCUCCCCCAUGCAGACACAGCCCAGGCCCCUGGCCUCAUUGGUCAGUUAUGUAGAAGUCCACUCUGCCUGCUGGGAGGUCUGCUGCAAGGCUGCCCCUUCCCUCUGCCCGGUGGGCCCAGCUCUGUGAGUAGAGGAAGGGGACUCACUGCAAGUUACUUCUGCUUGUCUCUGCCUCCUACGUUCAUUCACCUGUUCAUUUAACUGUCCUAGGCCCUGGGAAAUAAAACUCCUGGCUUUAUGGUGCUUGCUUCUAAUGACAAGAGACAGAUAAUAAACAAAGCAAAUUACAGUGUGACAUGUGCUACGGAGAAAAGGACAUCAGGGAAGGGGGUCAGGGGUGUGAGGUGGAGGAGGGUGCUUUUCCAAACAGGGUGGUCAGGGAAAGCCUUGCCGGGGAGGGUGUAUUUCAGCAAGGACUUGCAGGAGCUGAGGGGUAAGCCCUGCACAUCUUGGGGGAAAGAAUGUUCCAGCUGAGGGAAUCAUUCGUUCAAAGGCCCAAAGGCAGGAGUUUGGGGAUCAGCAAGGAGGCCAGCGGGAGUGGGAGGGGUGGGUAGCCGGAGGCCAGGUCAGAGAAGGCUUUAAGGCUUUAUGGCUUUUACUCAGGGGGAGAGGGGGAACCACUGGGGGGCUACGAGUGAGGAGUGAUGACGAGGUCUGGCUUACGGCUGAACAGCUUCUCUCUGGUGGACAUGUUGAGAAGGGUCCAUGGGGGCCAGUUGUGGGAGCAGGGAAACCAGUUAGCGGCUGCCACAAUAAGCCAGAUGCAGGUCAGCACGGCCCAGGGUGGUGCUGGUGAAGCUGGCAAGGCGGUGGUUGGAUUCUGGACGUGUUUCUAAGAAAGCCGACAGGAUAUGUGCACAGAUUGAAUGUGGGGUGAGAGAGAAAGAAGGUAUGGUGGGUGAUGGUGGUUUGGGCAACUUUUUGAAGACCAGAGUGUCGGUAACUGAGCAGGAGACGGUAGGAGUAAGUGUACGCGAGACAGGAGCCUGGUUGCAGAUCUGCGCAGUUUGAGGAGCUGAGUAGAUAAUCAGAUGGAAAUGCCAGACAGCAGUCAGAUACAGCAUCUGGGUAAGUACUGGCCAUCGGCAGCAUGUAGAUGGCUUUUGAAGCCAUAAACGCCAGGGGAGCGGGCGUAGAUAGGACAGGGGUCCCAGGACUGAGGCAGGACACUUCACCUAGGGAUGCGGGGAGGUGAGGAGGAAGCCACAAAAGGGCCUGAGCUGUGGGUGACGCGUGAGAGCCAGAGCGGGGCAUCGUGGGAGCCAAGUAAAGAACAUGCCUCAAGGAGGAGGGAGUGACCCACCAGGCCAGUGCUGCCCCACAGUCUCCAGAGGAGAGCUGGAGACUCACCGCUGGGUUCUGAACAGAGACAGGCCUGAGGAGCCGGCUCCGGUUCCUGGUCUCAGGCCCCCCCGAGGGCACUCACAGACACCCCUGCACCUCGGGCCUCCCAAGCAGCGGGGUGGGGGGUGCAGAGCGGAGGCUGCCGGGCAGCAAAUGCCACUACCUCAUUUAUCAUUUGACCAAGCGACUCUGUGAGCUACUAUCGACAACAUGCUAUUUUAGAUCUCAUACGGCAAGUUCCUCUUUAGCUGCCAAGGCGGGCGCCCCACCCGGCGCCGGAAGGUGGCAUUUCCUAGCCCUGUGGUGGAGUCAGACAGUGCUACCAUUUAGUGCAGCGUUCCCUUUAGUUUAAGCUCCUUGCUGCUGAAACCCUAGAAUUCCAAGUACCCAGAUAAUGCACCCCAGCCUUUCUUCAGUGGUAGAGGCAAGACCCCCAGAAAGAAGGCGGAGGGUGCCAGAGGACCUGGGGGGCACUACAACUCUGUACUUCUGAGUGGUGGGUGGGACGGCAGGCACUGGAGGUCUGAGGCCCCCGGAACCGUGCACCUGCUGAGCCAGCAGGGUCACAGCAUGUGAAGGGGCUCCAGGUGGGUCCUAGCCCCCGCUACAUGCACCUUACUGCCCCCCACUCCCUGGGUGUGCAAAAGGAAGCACGUCGCCCCGGCCUCACAGGGUAUCACAGGACUCUGGCUUCUAGGCUCUAGCAGGAGCGCCCCCCGUGCCUGGCAGGGGCCCUGAAGCUGACCUCGCACACCUCGCUGUCCACGGGUGGCCAGGCAGGAAGUGGAACCUGAACCUGCUUCAAACCUUGAUUCUCUGCCCUGCGGUGUGGCUUUGGGCCAGUACGUCAGCGCUCUGAGCUCACAGUCUCCCCUCUGCACAGUGGGGAUACUUGCUUACCUCCAAGGAUGAAGGUGGGAGAUAAGUGAGCUCAGAGAUGUUGUGACCUGGCAGGCGAAAGGGCCCAGAGGUAUCUCAGGCCAGCGACCUACAGUGGAGGGCAGUUUUGUUUCAGUGUUAUCAGAGGCGCAACGAUGGGUUGGAUGACCAUUUCAAAAGUCUGAGCCAUGCUUCGUGCACUCUGCCCUUUGCGUCCGGGCCAACUACGAGACCUCCGCCUGAAGCCACAGCAACAUGUGAAGAUACUUCAGGAUGUGUUCGGGGCAGUCGUUUACAACAUCCUCCUGUAAAAUAACAGCUCACCCUGUCACACACACACACACACACACCCCGCCACCAUGCGUUUGAACUGCUGAUCAUUUUUAUUUUAUUCACUGGGCUUUUCUUUUUUGAAAGUGUUAUAAUGAAAUGCCUUAAUUUUGUAACCAGGAAAAAGUUAUGAAAUAUACCAGAGUUCUUCAGAGUUCUCCCUCUCUGGCCUGGGGAAGCCUGUGUGUUUUGCACAAAGCCCGCACUCUCUCCACUCAACGGGGAGUGGGCACAAGCCCUUCCCGCCUGUUGUGGGGUCCCUGAUACAGGAGAAGAGGUGGGCUCAGGACCACGUCCUGAUCUCAUGCAACCUGUGCUCUCCUCCCUGUGCCAGCCUGAGACUUGGGGUGGACACGGCCCUCAACACCUAUUCUGUGGGGCCAGCUCGGCCACAUCUGCCAGUGUGCUACUGUCUUUCAGCCGGUGAUGAUUCCUCACUAUCAAACGUGCAGACACAAGCCUUCCAUAAACACGGCCGAGCUCCUGGACUCGUGGAUGCAGACCAAACAAGAGCUGAGCUCGGGAAGCUUAUUGGGGGCGAGGAGGCACAGACCGGCUAGGGGUCACCAAGAUUCCGUACAUAGAAACCAGUGCCAAGGACCCACCUCUCAACGUCGACAAAGCCUUCCAUGACCUGGUUAGGGUAAUUAGGUGAGCACUGUGCGCUUCCCCAGAAGUAGGCCCUCUGCAGCAAAACGGGCUCCGGGAGGACUGGACGGACGCAGCUUCUCAUUCCAAGGCCUGGGCUGUGCAAUUCUGGGCCUGUUUGGGAUUUCUUAUCCCUCCGUCCGUUUCUUUUCCCCUCCCUUCCCACCUUCCUUUGCACAUAUCCCCUCACUCCUACUACCUGUGGGUGAAGCCCGAAGCAUAAGCUAAAGGGAGGUGCCUUCCUGCCUGGGGUGCCAGCUCGCCCUCCUCCCCGGGCUCGCCUUGGCUCUGCAGCUCGGGCUCCCUCCACCUGCCUUUGGUGUUCUCCCGACACCACAGAUGUCAACACCAUAGGAAGUAGGUCCGUUUCCUCUUCUCCGCCCGGAGGUCAGAGCGCCCUGUGACAGUUCCCCUGAACCACCACCAUUCUGACUGCUAAGCUCAAGUUUCUGAGACCUUGCACCCAUGCCUGCUUUCCAGAGGGCGCACCCUGCCAGGCUCCAGGUGCGGUCAGAAAUCCUGGUCAGUGGUCUCACGUGUGUUUCUUUAUAGCGAGGCUGGGCCCUAAUCACCUCAUGCUGAAAGGGCUGCCACAGCCUCCUGGCUGCUCCCCUGUCACCCAUCUGCCCAUUUCCAGAGUCUGCAACAUGUGGAACGGCCUAGACUGCCGUCCUCAAGUAUCAGGCUCCUAGUGUGAGACUGUGUGCUGGUGAGCUCUUCAGCUGUCGGUUAGUUGCGAACUCAUGGGCAGGGCUCUGACAGGGUGCUUUCUCCCUGCUGCUUCUCAGCGCCCCCAGGACACACACACACACACACACACACACACACA